GAUGAACGCUGGCGGCGUGCCUAAUACAUGCAAGUAGAACGCUGAAGGAGGAGCUUGCUCUUCUGGAUGAGUUGCGAACGGGUGAGUAACGCGUAGGUAACCUGCCUGGUAGCGGGGGAUAACUAUUGGAAACGAUAGCUAAUACCGCAUGACAACAGUUAUUGCAUGAUAACUGUUUAAAAGGGGCAACUGCUCCACUACCAGAUGGACCUGCGUUGUAUUAGCUAGUUGGUGAGGUGACGGCUCACCAAGGCGACGAUACAUAGCCGACCUGAGAGGGUGAUCGGCCACACUGGGACUGAGACACGGCCCAGACUCCUACGGGAGGCAGCAGUAGGGAAUCUUCGGCAAUGGACGGAAGUCUGACCGAGCAACGCCGCGUGAGUGAAGAAGGUUUUCGGAUCGUAAAGCUCUGUUGUAAGAGAAGAACGAGUGUGAGAGUGGAAAGUUCACACUGUGACGGUAGCUUACCAGAAAGGGACGGCUAACUACGUG
rnacentral:rRNA from 1 species